rnacentral:rRNA from 1 species
CGACCGGCCACACUGGGACUGAGACACGGCCCAGACUCCUACGGGAGGCAGCAGUGGGGAAUAUUGCGCAAUGGGCGGAAGCCUGACGCAGCGACGCCGCGUGCGGGAUGAAGGCCUUCGGGUUGUAAACCGCUUUCACCAGGGACGAAGCGUAAGUGACGGUACCUGGGGAAGAAGCGCCGGCUAACUACGUGCCAGCAGCCGCGGUAAUACGUAGGGCGCGAGCGUUGUCCGGAAUUAUUGGGCGUAAAGAGCUCGUAGGCGGCUGGUUGCGUCUGCUGUGAAAUCCGGGGCUUAACCCCGGGCGUGCAGUGGAUACGGGCCGGCUGGAGGCAGGCAGGGGAGAAUGGAAUUCCCGGUGUAGCGGUGAAAUGCGCAGAUAUCGGGAGGAACACCGGUGGCGAAGGCGGUUCUCUGGGCCUGUACUGACGCUGAGGAGCGAAAGCGUGGGGAGCGAACAGGAUUAGAUACCAUGGUAGUCCACGCCGUAAACGUUGGGCGCUAGGUGUGGGUCCCUUCCACGGGGUCUGUGCCGCAGCUAACGCAUUAAGCGCCCCGCCUGGGGAGUACGGCCGCAAGGCUAAAACU